GGGGCCGUAGUGUAGUUUGGUCUAUCACUCGAGACUGGGGGUCUCGUAACCGGAGUUCAAAUCUUCGCGGCCCCA
rnacentral:tRNA from 1 species